UGGUGUUUUAUAGUAGGCUAGAGAGAGUCAAGUUCAACUCCAAAUGCCACAAGGACAAGCAGAUAUUUACAGCCAAGGAGCAGAGUAGAGGUCAGAUGAUAGAAACAUCAGCAGUAUAGGGGAUUCUGACUAAACCAGCUUGACAGUGUCAUUGCUGCAGGUAGUCAGGGUGACAAGACAUUGAAGGUGGGGGAUAAGGAAUUUGACAAGAUAUCAAGAAGAUAUCAAGAGUCAGUUUUGCUAAACUGACCCAGCAGAAUUCUUGCUAAAACUGGACUAAACAGGAAAAGAACAGAGCCCAAAGUUGGGAUAAGUCAAAAAGGGAGAUCAAAGGAACCUGGCUCAAGUUCAGUCAAAGGAGAGAGUCUUUGCCAGUAGUAAAGGAAAGAAGAAGGAUUUCUUUCAAUCAAUUUCUUCCUGCCUUCCUCCAGGAAAGGGUUAGAAGGCAUCUAUCCUGUGGACAGGGAGGACACAUUGCCUCCUCCGCUGAGACGGCACUGGGAAAACAGUGAGACCUCAGAGGGAAGCUGCCUGGUGGGCAGAAAGUGGAGGACCCGAGGAACUGAGGAUUCCAGCACCAGCUCAUAUCCCCAUGAACAGAAGCAGCAGUCUGCAGUCCUGGAGGAACUGAGCAAGCUCUGCCAAAGGACCUCUCACGGUGAAUCGGUGAGGACCAGUGACUGGGUGCCUGAGAAUUCCUGAAUUCUGAUGGGGGUAGUGUCUAUAAGGCUGAGAUCAAAUCUCCCAUCAGCCUGCUGAGGUGAAGGCUGGAGUCUGAUUUAGGCUGAUCUUUAAAAAGCCUAUCUGAAAGAGAUGGAAACCUAAUUGAAAAAUGGGUCAUCAUAGCACAGACAAGGUCUGACACGGGGAAAACGGCUCACGAACCCCACCCUUGGAGAUAAAGAUGACUCCAGGAGUUCAGUGAGGCUCCUAUGCAUCAUCCUGGACAGAAGUCAGGAAACAUCUCCAGGAACAACAUUUAAAGCUAGAUGGCUGCAGGGGAGAGGUCUUUCACGGAGAGCCACCCAAGAUGCCAAUGCUGAUCCAACCUUAAGUCUUCAGGCACUGGUCCCUGCACACGGAAGGAGAGGAGUGUGAUGAUUCAUGGUCCUCCAGUC